GGGUCUUUAGUUUAAUUUAAAACAUUUGAUUUCGGCUCAAAAACCGUGGUUAAAGUCCACAAGCACCCU
rnacentral:tRNA from 1 species